rnacentral:rRNA from 1 species
UGGCAGGCAGUUUGACUGGGGCGGUCGCCUCCUAAAAGAUAACGGAGGCGCUCAAAGGUUUGCUCAGAAUGGUUGGAAAUCAUUCGUAGCGUGUAAAGGCAUAAGCAAGCUUGACUGUGAGACUGACAAGUCGAGCAGGUACGAAAGUAGGACUUAGUGAUCCGGUGGUUCCGUAUGGAAGGGCCAUCGCUCAACGGACAAAAGCUACCCCGGGGAUAACAGGCUCAUCUCCCCCAAGAGUCCACAUCGACGGGGAGGUUUGGCACCUCGAUGUCGGCUCAUCGCAUCCUGGGGCUGUAGUCGGUCCCAAGGGUUGGGCUGUUCGCCCAUUAAAGCGGUACGCGAGCUGGGUUCAGAACGUCGUGAGACAGUUCGGUCCCUAUCCGUCGUGGGCGCAGGAAAUUUGAGAGGAUCUGUCCUUAGUACGAGAGGACCGGGAUGGACAUACCUCUGGUGUACCAGUUGUUCUGCCAAGAGCACCGCUGGGUAGCUACGUAUGGAUUAGAUAAUCGCUGAAAGCAUCUAAGUGAGAAACUAACCUCGAGAUGAGAUUUCCCAUUCGUCAGAAGUAAGACCCCUGAGAGACGAUCAGGUAGAUAGGCUAGAAGUGGAAGUGUAGUGAUGCAUGGAGCGGACUAGUACUAAUAGGUCGAGGACUUAACCAAG